rnacentral:lncRNA from 10 species
GGAAGCCAGUGGCCGGAACACACGGGCUCUUUAGCUGAGGAGGGACUUGAACCCAGGUGUUCCGACGCGAGGACUCUCUCCCACCACAUACAGCACAGCACUGCUUGCGUUGUUUGGUUUUGUAUUGCUUUGGAAUUAGUCCAACUAUCAUCAUCGAUGUGAAUAAAUAGACAUAUAUCUUUUCAGUUUGCACAACUACAACCAUAAAUGAAUAUUUAUUAGUGUGAAGACACCCCCAGGUCCUGGAACACUCAACACAUGUAGAGCCAGGUGUAUUCAGGAGUCCAUGCAGCAGGAAGUGGAGCCAUCAUCACAGGGUACGAAGGGAGGACAAGUGCAGUGUCGUGAGCAUGUACAGAGGGAAGUUGACAGCGGGGAGAGGCUUUGCUGAGGAAGUGGCGUUUGGAAGAACGAGAAUGAGGGGAAACCUGGAGAAGCCAGUGAAGGAC